AUGAAGAACUCACUUAUAUUCAGUCUUUGUCUGAAUUUCACUGCCAGUUCUAAUAAGAGUUUACUUGUUGACAUUUUAGGUUUAAAAAGCCCAACAAGCUGGGUGAAUGAAUUCAGAGGUAACAUAUUUUCUGACUGCAUGUGUGAGCGUGCAUGCAUAUAUGUCUUAAGUAGUAGAAGAGCACCAAUAAGACAUCUUCAGUUUUACUUAACGGUAAGAGCAUUACACCUAACUAUUCUGAAGCUUUUGAAAAUUUGUUUAAAAAGACUACUAUGAUUACUGUAGUCAAAAUGUGUUUUUUAUCCUACCUGAGAUGCUUAAAAUCUUACACUGUAAUUUUAUUUUUUGCUUAAUGUAUAAUAUUCUGUCAGCUCAGAUCACUGUUUAAAAGGAUGAAGAAAAAUGCUGAAAAAGAAGUACCUCUUCAGUAAUCAAGGCUGUUGAAAUGAAAAACUUUUAUUUUUGUGAAGUAAAACAAUUUUUUCUGUGUAAACAUUCUCCACAUGCAGGAAUAACCAAAUGUACUAAUAUUUCCUCAUAACAGGGAAAUAUUUUAUUGUGAAGCUAUUGUGUUUGUAGUCCAAGAAUAUAUAUUUUUUUCUUUCACCAAAGUAUGUCUACUGACUCCUUUCACAUUACGCCAGAAAUUGAUCAUGACUGAUGCUAAUGUGUAAACUUUAUAUAGAUUAUUUCUACAUAGACAUACAUACUUAUAAGGAAUAGACAUCGACUUAGGUAGGAAAAGAAAUUUAUUAGUUGUUCUAAAAAAAAAAAAAAAGCCUUUUUUUUGAGAUAAAGGAAAAGAUUAUUGUCUUUCUGUAUGUUACUUAUAUUAAAUAUGGAAGUAACUGUGGUUUUCCUUAUACAUUAUCAGCAUACUUUACAGAAAUCCCAUUAACCUGUCAGAUAUUUUCUAAUUCAAGCACAGAUUUGGUCAUGAAUAGUCAGUUGGAAAUGAGGUAAUUGGGGUAUGACAGAACCCUUAGUCUGUAUCCAUAAUUUAUAGUUUAUAAUAAAAGAACUGAAGGUGUCCUGUGAAAGAAAGUU
rnacentral:lncRNA from 1 species